AACGAACGCUGGCGGCAUGCCUAACACAUGCAAGUCGAACGAGGCCUUCGGGUCUAGUGGCGCACGGGUGCGUAACGCGUGGGAACCUGCCCUUAGGUUCGGAAUAACUCCCCGAAAGGGGUGCUAAUACCGGAUAAUGUCUUCGGACCAAAGAUUUAUCGCCUUUGGAUGGGCCCGCGUUGGAUUAGCUAGUUGGUAGGGUAAAAGCCUACCAAGGCGACGAUCCAUAGCUGGUCUGAGAGGAUGAUCAGCCACACUGGGACUGAGACACGGCCCAGACUCCUACGGGAGGCAGCAGUGGGGAAUCUUGGACAAUGGGCGAAAGCCUGAUCCAGCAAUGCCGCGUGAGUGAUGAAGGCCUUAGGGUUGUAAAGCUCUUUUACCCGGGAUGAUAAUGACAGUACCGGGAGAAUAAGCUCCGGCUAACUCCGUG
rnacentral:rRNA from 1 species